rnacentral:rRNA from 1 species
UUGAAAGGGAAACGAUUGAAGUCAGUCGUACCAGCGGGAAAUCAACCUUUCGAGUGGGGUUUUGGAGUUUUGAAGUGUGUCAAAACCUUUGAGAUUCCNNAAUUUUCGCUCUUUUGGUGUACUUUCUCGUGGGUAGGUUAACAUCGAUUUUGAUCAUCAUAAAAAGAUUGGAGGAAUGUAGCUUCGAUCUUGUAUUGAAGUGUUAUAGCCUUUGGUAAAUGUGAUGAUUAGGAUCGAGGAUUGCAACGAAUACCCUUUUGGGCUAUCCGCCUGAUCUCUGAUACGUGGCCUUGGUAUCGAAAGCUUGCUUAUGGUAUUAAGGUAUUACGGUCAAAAGGUUAGAACGGAUUACAUUCGUUAAGGAUGUUGACGUA